CCUGCCCCUAGAGGCACUGCAGGUGUGGCUGCUGUGUCACAUGAACAUCAGUAGGUGGCAGAGAGGAGAGAGGCUAUGACUACAGUUCUGACCCUAUGAACCCUUUGAACGGUUAGGAGCCCAACCUU